GGGCCCGUAGCUCAGUUUGGAUAGAGCGACGGCCUUCUAAGCCGUAGGUCGCGGGUUCAAGUCCCGCCGGGCCCGCCA
rnacentral:tRNA from 1 species